ACAUUAUUUGUCAAUUUAUAAAUAGUCGUGUUCUGUGUCGGUGCUGGUCAUUUAUUAAGGAGUAACAUUUAGGCAAUUCAAUUCACAUGUGGUAUUGGCCUCGUGUGGAACGUACAAUAUGUAUGUGAUUAUGUGAUAUUUUGUGUGUGACCUAUGAUAUUUUCACGUCCGUCAAAAGUAAAAUCUUUUUGUCAUGGCAACACCACUGGGACUUCAUAACACCUACCAACAAACUUAAGGCAAUACAUUUUAUUGAAUAAAAAGUUCAGUGAAACAGUGGUAUACACCUGCUGACCUCAGCUGACGUCAAUAUAUUGCGAUCAUUCGUAUAAGAAUCGGCCACACUUUCACUACACACUCCUUCCUAAUCAGCAAAGACCAUCCACCUACAUGUAGCACAUGUCAAACUCGCAUCACUAUAAAACACAUACUCCAAGAUUGCCCCACAUACGAACCAAAAGUCUACAACAAAGUCUCUCAACUUUCCGCAUGCCAUCUAGGAAAUCCUCGACGAAGGACAAACACAUCAAGUUCAUCAGUAUAUGCAACCUUAUCAACAAAUUAUGAUUCAGCAAAUCUAUCUUGUUUUUAUUAGAUUAAAUUAUUUGCAUGUUUGACAACAUUUUGCUGGUUAAACGUAACAUGCUUUGAUGUUUACUAGAUGUUAAGGUUUGGAAAUAAUCAAAUGCAAUACAGCAUAUUUAAUAUUUACCAUAUAAAAUACCAUAUACUGAGGUUUCAAUUGAUGCCGGGAGUACCUUAUCUAGUUGGUAUAGAAGUCUGUGACAAUUCCGAGCCGUUUUUAUUCAUAUCGAACUGUUUUGCGAGUGUACGUGUUGGACGUCGACUUUGCGUGUGCUUCCUCCCCCCCCUCCGACCAACAUAUCGGCUAGACUGGUGAUUUACACGAGUGUGCUGGCACGGCGGCACAACUGCAACUAGUUGUCGUGUUUCUCUUGUCGUCGGACGUCGAAGGUGUUGCGGUUUCUUAGCAGCAGUAUUUACCUCAGUAUCAAGAGUCACUGUUUUGCGUCGCGAUCGUUAUACCAUGGUAUAAGUUCACGAUCGUAAUACUAUAAUAUAAGUUCCCGAUUGCCGCUUGCCACCGCCAGGCUGAUCACCCGGAAUAACUCGUCCACCGCCUAUUCCGAUCACCACCGCCGACCAACAACAUCAUCGCCUCCGUCGUUAUAUAUUUUAUGAACUCCAAAACCUGGACUUCAUAUACCAAUUACAAUGCAAAAUAAAAAGGAAAAAAAAGAAUCUGGAAGAUGUGAAAAACUUGCUAAAUACGAAUA